rnacentral:rRNA from 1 species
GACAGAGGGUGCAAACGUUGUUCGGAUUUACUGAGCGUAAAGCGCGUGUAGGCGGCUUGGCAAGUCGGAUGUGAAAGCCCACGGCUCAACCGUGGAAGCGCAUCCGAAACUGCUUCGCUCGAGUCUCGGAGAGGAAGGUGGAAUGCUUGGUGUAGAGGUGAAAUUCGUAGAUAUCAAGCAGAACACCUGCGGCGAAGGCGGCCUUCUGGACGAUGACUGACGCUGAGACGCGAAAGCGUGGGGAGCAAACAGG